GUACCAGCGCUGCAAGUAGAGACAGGAGAAAUGCCAUUACACCUCAGGCGUCUGAAAUUGAGUAUGGCUUAUUGGGUCAAUUUAAAAGGACAUAACGCAUCUCAUCCUACUAAGGAGGUCCUUAAUGAAUGUUGGGAAUAUGGCAGGUCUCAGAUCUGUAGCUUUGGCUGGGAAGCUAACGGAUUAGCAAGUCAGUUGGAGAUAGAGGACAUAACAUGCAGUAAGACUUUGCCUCUGGCCACAACCUCACCUUGGUUAUUUAGUUCCCCUAGGGUGAUUAUAGAAACUAAAGAAAAUGUAGGGCAGUAUCUGAGUAUGUGCUACAAUACAACAAAAAUAUAUACAGACGCAUCAAAAGAUUGUGAGGGUAAGACUGGCAUAGGGGUGUAUAUUCCUGAAUCUGAUAUAUAUAUUAAAAAGAGGGCUACUGAUCAGUUAUCCAUUUUUGCAGCUGAAAUGGCAGCCAUCAUAACUGCAUUGCAAUGGCUAGAAGAGACUAGGCUCCCUAAAGCAAUCAUUUGUUCUGACUCAAUGUCAUCUCUCAGUUCUAUUCAAAAUGGAGAAUCAGCAUGUAGACAGGAUCUAUUGAAUGAAAUAAAUCAAAUCAUUUUUGCAAUUAAUCAACAGGGAAGGACAGUCCAGUUUGUGUGGGUUCCAGCUCAUAAAGGUGUUGAAGGGAAUGAGGAAGCAGACAAGCUGGCAAAAGAGGCAACGAAAGAAGAGGAGGUUCAAUUAAGCAUUCCACUCAAUCCCCAAUGAACUGCACCUCAGUCCAGUAGAUGGCGGUAAUACACGUAGCUUGUAAACCGCCAUAAAACUCUACAGAAGAAGAAGAAGAAGAACUCACUCACUUACUCAAUGUUGGCCGCGAGCUCUGUGGGUCACGCAGGUUGUGUGUGUCAAUGGCAACAAUGCCGGCAGAUAGAUAUGUGAACGGUAUUUUUUUCUCAGCGAACGAAAAUCAUGGCGUGCUUUAAACCCGACAAAAAGAGAAAAGUUGAUUCCAAAAAUCGCGAAUUUAAGACAGACUGGACUGACAAGUAUGCAUUUGUGCUGCCUGUGGGGAGCACAAAACCGAUGUGUUUAAUCUGUAACGAGACGGUUGCCCUUGUCAAAAGUGGUAACGUGAAACGUCACUAUGAAACAAAGCAUGCACACUUCGAACAAAAAUACCCGCAGAACUCUGAGGUAAGGGGCAGAAAAAGAAACCAUCUGCAAUCAUACCAAGCAACAUGCAGUGUAAUAGUUAGAUCAGCCACACAACAAGAGCGUGCAUACCUCAACAUAUAUCAGAAUCAGAAUCAUGUUUAUUGGCCAAGUACAUUUUCAUAUACAAGGAAUUUGUUCUGGGUUUAGUUGCUCUCAAUGUACUUAAACUGAAAAUAUGCAGUAUAACACAACAGUUUAGGAUAGAGAUACUGUUGUGAGUCUGCCUUUUCAACCAUGAAAAUGGUGAAAAACAAAUACAGGAGCACACCCAAUGAACACUUACAUCAGUGCCUCCGCCUGGCCAUCACACCUUUUAUGCCCAAGUUUAAACCACAAAAAAGUGUCACCUUUCACACAAAUAAGGCCAGACCACAUAACCGUUUGUUCAUACGGUAGUUUGAACGUUUUUGUUGGAGUUAUGUUUUUGGAUUUUGACCGUCACUGUUCCGGACCCUGGACUGAAUGGAAAUUUGGCGAGUGGACCUUUUGGGUUUCUAAUUGAGUACCCCUGCGCUACACGGUUUGGAGCACGCCUGUCUCGCGUGCGCUGUCUUGCUCGCUCGCUCUAGAUUCCGGGAGAUUUUAAGUAAUUUGCGGGCAUCAGGGAGUCGCUAUCAAUAUGCGGGAGACUCCCGUCCGGAACUUCCGGGAGACUUGGGAUGUCUGUACCCACCAUCAGGGUUAAUAACUGUAUUCCUUUAGGUAAUGUAAAACAAGCACAACAAAACAUUCAACACUGCUAUUUAUAUAUUACCAAAGCAGUGGUUCUCACAAGCAGGGGAAACUCACACACCCCAAGAUGCAGGCUUA
ensembl:lncRNA